ACGAACGCUGGCGGCAUGCCUAAUACAUGCAAGUCGAACGAGACCUUCGGGUCUAGUGGCGCACGGGUGCGUAACGCGUGGGAGUCUACCCUUGGGUUCGGAAUAACAGUUGGAAACGACUGCUAAUACCGGAUGAUAUCGAAAGAUCAAAGAUUUAUCGCCCAGGGAUGAGCCCGCGUAGGAUUAGCUAGUUGGUGGGGUAAAGGCCUACCAAGGCUACGAUCCUUAGCUGGUCUGAGAGGAUGAUCAGCCACACUGGGACUGAGACACGGCCCAGACUCCUACGGGAGGCAGCAGCAGGGAAUAUUGGACAAUGGGGGCAACCCUGAUCCAGCAAUGCCGCGUGAGUGAUGAAGGCCUUAGGGUUGUAAAGCUCUUUUACCCGAGAUGAUAAUGACAGUAUCGGGAGAAUAAGCUCCGGCUAACUCCGU
rnacentral:rRNA from 1 species